rnacentral:lncRNA from 1 species
UCUUUUCAAGUAGACUCCAUUCCUAGUGUGGAGCCCAACACAGAGCUGGAUCUCACAAUCCCAAGAAAGAUCAAGACCUGAGACAAGACCAGGAGUCAGAUGCUCACCAGACAGAGCCACUCCAGCGCCCCCUGGAGGAGUUUCAUGGGGCAGUCAUGUGCUAUAUGAUAUAAUGAAUCCCUGAUCUACAUAUCAUAGACGAAUGGAAUAACAGAUUGCUGCGUGGUCUCCUGCAAAGCAUGAAAAUUGGCUAUAGCCAA